GUAGGGUGCUAGCGUUGUUCGGAAUCAUUGGGCGUAAAGCGCGUGUAGGCGGUUAGUUAAGUCAGAUGUGAAAUCCCUGGGCUCAACCGAGGAAGUGCAUUUGAAACUAAUUAGCUAGAGAGUGGUAGAGGAAGGUGGAAUUCCGUGUGUAGAGGUGAAAUUCGUAGAUAUACGGAGGAAUACCGGUGGCGAAGGCGGCCUUCUGGACCAUUCCUGACGCUGAGACGCGAAAGCGUGGGGAGCAAACAGGAUUAGAUACCCUGGUAGUCCACGCCGUAAACGAUGGGUACUAGAUGUUGCGGGAAUUGACCCCUGCAGUGUCGACGCUAACGCAUUAAGUACCCCGCCUGGGAAGUACGGCCGCAGGGUUA
rnacentral:rRNA from 1 species